CUUAAAUCUGCUGGGGACUAAUAUGGAGGCGCCAAAGGGAUUUCAAAAAAAUAAGAUUUAUAUUGUGGCUCAGAAGCAUCCACUAUGGUCAAACCUGACUCAUUCUUCUUCUUUCUGUGAAAAGAAGCUUACAGUGAAUGUGGACCCAAGUGACAAACAAGACUUGACAGAUCAUCAGUCUGUACCCUGAAUAGAUUUUUUUUCCGUAUGAUAAUCCUGCAAAGUCUAGUGCAAGCCUGGUGUCCUGGUGUUAGAGGGACAGAAAUGUUAGAAUUGAGGGAAAAACAAAUCUGUCGUUGUUGAAGGAACAUCACUAGGAUCUCAAACCCAGAACCCACAGCUUGGGGAGGAGACGAUAGGAAUUUUAAAAUAACUCGCUGAAUAUUUUUAAAAGGAUUUUAGGAGUAAAAACUUAGAGUAGGUGUGUGGCCAUUCUACAUUUAGCCUAAAAAUUCGUAAAGAAAUAGGAAAAAGUGAAUCAUAGAAAGAAGCCAGAAGAAAUUGAUCUCAAAUUCAUCUCUAGGAUCACCUGAGGACCAGUGUCAUAGACAUCUUCCUUAUUUAAAUCGUCCUGGAGAGCAAGUCACACAAACUCCUUCAGUUGCUCCCUGCAAUAUUGAGCGACUAUUACUGUCAGAAAGUUCUUCCUUAUGUGUAACCUCAUGUCUCAUGGUGCGUGUUAAAAACCAUUCUCUCUUGCAUAGUUUUCACUGGAGAUAAAAUCAGCUAGAUCCCAACCUCCAUGGGAUAAGGAGAAAGAACUGAAGAGAAAACAAAGUUUAAAUGAUGUUGCGAGUACAUUUCGAUUAAGUGUGAACUUACUCAAAGCAUUCUUGGUAACAUCCUUGAUGAUGGAUUUAGACCAUAGGAUUUGCUAUGUCUCAAGACAGAGCUGGGUGUCUGACCACCACUUCACGGACUUGUGUAUAAGCCAGCAACCUCAAAGGCUGUGCAGCGAUAUCAUAAAUAAAGGGGAAAAAAAGAAAACAGUCGCGUGCAGCAGUUGGGUCCGGGUUCUGGAAUGGCCUUGUCUGUAUGCUAACCCUGCAUGUGGAUAAGUGCUUUGCAUCUGCUGCCAUCUCACCAGCACAUUCAGAAGAGGAACAGCACUGUCUGCAGAGUGUUUCAGUUCCCGCAGAAAACACCACAUAAAUAGACGGUAAUGUAUAAAUAGAGCGGAGGCCAAAAACCUCGUGCCAAAAUGAUCCUCUAAAAUUUUACACCUAUUUCAUGCAUUAAAGGAGAAAUGUGUAGCAUAUGCUUUCACUUAUUUUACGAUUAGCUCAUCAAGUUUGUGUUUUGCGGGGACAGAAAGCCAAAAAGCCUGUGUCUCUCACGACCCUUCCACAGCCCCUCUGCGGCCUCACUCUUCCAGUGUUGUUUUAAAGAGCUGCUCUCACAGGUCCUCAGAAGUAAAAUUAAACUCAAACUCAAUAAUAUGAAUUUGCAUUUGUGUUGAUCUUUAAAGUUUACAAAGUGUGUUCACAUAAUUUCGUUUUGUUGUCACAACUGCUCUACGGGUUAGCAGGGCAGGGGGUAAUGUUCCCAUUUUACAAUUGUGGAAACUGAGACAGAGAAGAAAGGCGCCUUGCUUCAAAUUAUCCGGCUAUUAACCAGCAGAGCUGUGUCUUGAACCCAAGUGCUCCAGCUCAAUUCAAUGAUGCUUUUUCCACUCUGCCCAGGCUGUUUGUGAUGGAGAGGCCUCCAUGGCAAUGAAUGCCGGCAGGCUCAAGGAGCUGAGAGCAGACUCUGCUGACAACCAGCCAGAAGAUGGGAGCCUCUGUCUUAGGACUGCAAGGAACUGAAUUCGGCCAACUGACCAGGAAGAAAAUUCUUCUCCAGAGCCUCUAGAUGAGGACGCAGGCUGGCCAGCUUGGUGAUCUUAGGCUUGUGAUACUCUGAACGGAGAACCCAGUCGCAUUGUGCUGAACUUCCGAAAUACAGAACUGUGGCAUAAUAAACGGGUAUUGUUUUAAGGGGCCAAAUUUAUGGUAAUUUGUUGUAUAGCAAUAGAAAACUAAUAAACUGCCACUCACAAAUGUUGAUUGAAUGCUUAUUAUGUGCAAGACAAUAAUUUUUAUUUCAGAUCAUUUUAUUUUGUGUCUGUGUCUAGGAGGGUUAGUUAAAAAAAAUUCCCCAGACUUGCUGU
rnacentral:lncRNA from 1 species